CAGUAGCCACGGGAAAACGAGGGGAGCUAGCGUUGUUCGGAAUUACUGGGCGUAAAGCGCGCGUAGGCGGCUUUUUAAGUCAGAGGUGAAAGCCCGGGGCUCAACCCCGGAACUGCCUUUGAUACUGGGAGUCUUGAGUUCGAGAGAGGUGAGUGGAAUUGCGAGUGUAGAGGUGAAAUUCGUAGAUAUUCGCAGGAACACCAGUGGCGAAGGCGGCUCACUGGCUCGAUACUGACGCUGAGGUGCGAAAGCGUGGGAAGCAAACAGGAUUAGAUACCCGUGUAGUCCCUGUCUCUUAUAC
rnacentral:rRNA from 1 species